rnacentral:rRNA from 1 species
UACGGAGGGUCCAAGCGUUAUCCGGAAUCAUUGGGUUUAAAGGGUUCGUAGGCGGAUUAAUAAGUCAGAGGUGAAAUACACUAGCUCAACUAGUGAACUGCCUUUGAUACUGUUAGUCUUGAGUUAUAUUGAAGUAGAUAGAAUAUGUAGUGUAGCGGUGAAAUGCAUAGAGAUUACAUAGAAUACCGAUUGCGAAGGCAGUUUACUAAGUAUAUACUGACGCUGAUGAACGAAAGCGUGGGUAGCGAACGGG